CCAUACCAAUUUCAUAUCAUUCAGCAAAUAAAAUAAUAUUUCCCGAAAGUCUUAUCACAAAAUCGAGAAAGUUGAGUCAAUACUGGCUGUAACAUUUUUCAAUCUUUGCCCCGAGCGUUGGCGAAAUUAUUAAUAAACUUAUCUCAAUUAUUCCGAGAUAGUUCAGUAAUAACAAAACUUGCUUCAAUAUGAACGAUCAAUAUCUAUCUUGCGGCUUAAAUCUGCGAUAGUUUGAAUUUUCUCUCGUCUAACCUAUAUAAUACUUGUAAUCAGUUAUUUAAAUCGGCUUAUGUCUGUGCUCAUAAUGUCUUUAAUGUCUUAGAAGUUUUUCUUCGUCGAUCAAAUAGCUCGUUAAUGUUUGUGGUUUGCUCACGUAAUUGAAAGUACGUAAAUGUAAACGUAAAUUUUUUAAAGUAGAAUAUUAAUAAAAAAUUUAUAUACAUAUACAUAUACAAGUAUAUAUAUAAUAUAAUAACAAUAUAACAUAUAUAAUAUAAUAAAUUAGUUAAUCUCUCUUGAAGAGGGUUUAUUUCCGAAUUAAAAUUCGCGGUUGCACUUGCGCGCUAUCUUCAAUCGGCGAAUUAUAACAUAUGAGUUAUUCCAUCUAUGUAUAAUCAAUGAUAUGUGUUCCAUGCAUUUUGUGACGGUAAGGUUAGUGAUAAAGGGGAAAAUUUUUUUUUCAUUGUUUGUAUAUAUAUAUAUCGAUUGAAAUGAUAAACAUAUCGCGAAUGUGUUGGUAUCAAUCACAGUGAAACAACCGUGAUGAUAGGUUUUACUAUCAUCGCGUAUUUUUACGACACGUUACGCAAUCGCACGUGACAGAAACGCUUUGGCCAAGUGUUGUCGAACGUUUUCGCCAAAUAAGUGCCUCUUGACUGCAAUUGGGGAUCGUCAUAAAUCCAUCUGGCGAAAUGGCAGAAGAAGCGGAGAACGUCAAUCAGGAUUCUGACGUGGAUG